GACGAACGCUGGCGGCGCGCCUAACACAUGCAAGUCGAACGGAGCGUACUGUGUGAAGCCCUUCGGGGCGGAACUUUGUAUUGCUUAGUGGCGAACGGGUGAGUAACACGUGAGCAACCUGCCCUAGAGUGGGGGACAACAUUUGGAAACGAAUGCUAAUACCGCAUAAGACCACGGUGUCACAUGACACAGCGGCCAAAGGAUUUAUUCGCUUUAGGAUGGGCUCGCGUCUGAUUAGCUAGAUGGUGGGGUAACGGCUCACCAUGGCGACGAUCAGUAGCCGGACUGAGAGGUCGAUCGGCCACAUUGGGACUGAGAUACGGCCCAGACUCCUACGGGAGGCAGCAGUGGGGAAUAUUGGGCAAUGGGCGAAAGCCUGACCCAGCGACGCCGCGUGGAGGAAGAAGGUUUUCGGAUUGUAAACUUCUAUCAGCAGGGAAGAAAAUGACGGUACCUGACUAAGAAGCCCCGGCUAAUUACGUGCCAGCAGCCGCAGUAAUAC
rnacentral:rRNA from 1 species